rnacentral:rRNA from 1 species
UACGUAGGAGGCGAGCGUUGUCCGGAAUUACUGGGCGUAAAGAGCGCGUAGGCGGCGCUGUACGACCGCUGUGAAAGCCCCCGGCUCAACUGGGGAGGGUCAGCGGUAACGGCAGUGCUACGAGUGCAGGAGAGGGAAGUGGAACUCCGGGAGUAGCGGUGAAAUGCGUAGAUACCCGGAGGAACACCAGUGGCGAAGGCG